AACGAACGCUGCGGCAGGCUUAACACAUGCAAGUCGAACGCCCCGCAAGGGGAGUGGCAGACGGGUGAGUAACGCGUGGGAAUCUACCUAGUUCUACGGAACAACAGUUGGAAACGACUGCUAAUACCGUAUACGCCCUACGGGGGAAAGAUUUAUCGGAAUUAGAUGAGCCCGCGUAAGAUUAGCUAGUUGGUGGGGUAAUGGCCUACCAAGGCGACGAUCUUUAGCUGGUCUGAGAGGAUGAUCAGCCACACUGGGACUGAGACACGGCCCAGACUCCUACGGGAGGCAGCAGUGGGGAAUAUUGGACAAUGGGCGCAAGCCUGAUCCAGCCAUGCCGCGUGAGUGAUGAAGGCCUUAGGGUUGUAAAGCUCUUUCGUCCACGACGAUGAUGACGGUAGUGGAAGAAGAAGCCCCGGCUAACUUCGUGCCAGCAGCCGCGGUAAUAC
rnacentral:rRNA from 1 species